rnacentral:piRNA from 1 species
UCUAGAAUGGUGGGUCAGACAAGGUC